UCUUAACUUGUAUAAAUCACUUUUCAAUAUAAUAUCCCAAGUUUGAAUUUUGUCAACAUUAUAGUUUAGCAAUGCUUGUUGUCUGCUAUGGGAAUUUUGCAGAGUUUUAUUGAUGGGGAGAAUUUGGCAAAGUUUGAACUGGUAAUUUUUGUGAAUUCUACAAAUAUGUUAUUGUUCUUUGUUUGCUUCAUGUGUUCUAAUAUCUUUGUUGAGAGUUGACACUUGAGUUAAUUUCUCGAGAGUGAGCAAUCCUGCUGCUUGUGACAGAUAGAAUUUGAAUCAUCCAAUUUUUUCAUUGAAAGUGAGCUGUAGUUCUGAAAGAGAAUCUCCAUUUUUGUCGGCGUGCCUCAAUUUAUUGCAUAAGCCUCAAAUUUAGCUGACAAUCAAAGAUUUUUAUAAAACGAUUUGAUGGUUCGUUGAUGGUCCACAAUCUGAAUAAAGUCACCGCUUGUCAUACAUUUCAGUGUUUGAAGAUAAAGAAAAUAAGGAAUUUUCAUUUGGUAUAGUUUUUACUAGUUUGCUUUCAUAAACAGUCAUUAUGUUUGGUAACUUGAAAUUGGAAAAUCUUGCAAACAUGAUAUUUCACAAUAGUCAAUCAAACAAACAGUUGAUAUUUUGUCAAUGCUCAGGAGUCGGGAACUGAGAAUUAUCAACCCUGGAUUAUUGUGUGAUGAACAACCCCAAUCAGUUAUCUUAUGAUGUGUAUAGUCAUGGCAUUUAGGCAACCAUUAGCUGUGAGAUUUUUUUUGGGUGGCAUUGGUGACAGGGCAGGGAGUUAGAGUUAUGUGAGACUGGAAUAGAUGAGCAUUAAUUGAUUAUGUGCUUGACUCUGCUUUAAGUUUCCUUUUCUCUUGAUGAUACAAGACAACCAAGAAACUUCGACUAGUUGCUAGUUGUCAAUUUCACUUUACUAGAGUACACUAUCAUGUCUUCUCAAGCCCUUGUUCUUUGUUUUAAGAUAAUUGAGGGGCUAUGUGAGAGUUUGUUUAGCGUGUGUACAAGUGUGCAUAUCAUGUGAUGAUAAAACAGAAAGCAGCACCCAAGGGGUGCCACCACCCAGGUACAAAGCAAAAACUGUGCCAUUGGUCUAUGGGAGGGUGAGUAUCAAAAGAUUUAAGAAGGAAUGAACAUCUAGGAGGCCGCUUCUACGGAAAAAAAUACAUGAAUUAUUAUGCCAGAAACACCAAAGCUGCUGCCAGCUGUUACAAAUGCUAUGAAAUUCUUGCGUCAACACUCCAAACUCUCUGUUGUUCCUCUUUUUUUGCACUAAUCCAUCAGAUUUCGAAGGGGAUACUCUCUCUGCUACUAUUAAAUUGUUUUACAGAUAGCUAAUCAAAUAUCUUGACUGUUCUGUAUAUGAUUUUUAUCUAUAGAAAAUACCUACUUUGAUAGAACACAACAUAGGCUGUCCCGAAUAGAAAUUCAAUAAAGGAGGAGAUAUGUAUAGAUAGCAAGUCAUAUCUGAACAUGCGCCCUUCUUUCUUCGUGGGUAGUUGCAGAAUAUGAAAUGGGAAGCCCGCUUCUUGACCAUUCUCCAAUUUGUGAUGAAUUAUUCAUCGGGAUAGCUUAUGAGUUGCGACUGAAUUGCAUAAGAAAUAUUAGAAGAUCGCGAAAAAGAGAAGUGCCACAUAUGGACUCUCCGGACACCUGAAGAAGCAUCCUCUCAUUGGAGAAGUUUAUAUGGGCAUCUAGAUGAUAUGGAAUGAUGAGUACAACCAACAUUUACUGUUUCCUUAAAAAUGCAGAUGGCUGUGCUUUACGCUGGUGUUUCUGAUAAAAGAGAGUAUUAAGAUAAAAGUCCAGGUUGAUCCCCACUGAUCGGUGUAUGGGAUAUGGACAUAGAGGGAGGGGUUUUAUUUUCUUUCUAAUUUCAAUGUACUUUUUUUCUCCGUUUCUUGAAUUCUUCCAAAUGUACUUCGCCUCAUGUUCUGUGCUUAUUAGAAAUGAAAACACUCGUAGACAAAUGGCAGAAA